GCAAUAGAAUAGGUUUUCUCAAGGGUGGUCGGCCUAUCUCCCCAGUAGAAAGGGGGUGGUGCUGAUUGACAGUGUUUGAGUCUCUGAUGUUUGCGAUUGCAUUUACUACCUUAGUCGUAGCCAUCCUGUCAUUUAACCAUAAAAAAUAAUCCACCCUUGAGUUGACGCCUCUGGUGGAUUAUUUCUUUCACUGACAGCUGACCCCUCUACGGGAACCGUCUAUUGCUGGACUGGACAUGUUGACGCAUGUUCG
rnacentral:sRNA from 1 species